GAAGCCAGGCGACUUAGCGGUUAGCACGAGUGUAGAUUCUGUAAGAAUCAUAUUCCAGUUUUUAACCCCAGUCUCUGGUGCUUACUCCUGAAGACAGGCCUGUCCUGUGGGCAGGACUGGAAAGAAUCCAUUGCCUAGCACAAGGCAGAGGGCAAUGCUCCUUUGGGCUGUGGCUGAAGAUAGCCAGCUCUAUAUUCCCCGGGCUUGGGGUUACCACAGAGCCAGUCCUAAGAGCUAGAGUUCCUGUGUGGAUUUUUAGGCCCUAUUUCCUUUUGGUUAAAUUUCAUGACCUGAACGGCUACCUGCCAGCUUCUGUCUCAGGUCGGCCCCUUUGCUUGGGAAGAGCACCUCUCCUUCCAGUCUAUGCGAGCCAAGUGUGGUAAAUGUGUGUGUAUGUGUGGUUAGCCCAAGAAAGCCAGCUCAGCCCCUGCAAGGCAGCAGCGCGAUUGUGACGUCAGCAGCAGCCAAAUCAGCACCUCCAGAAUGGCAGUGGGGACCAGUCUGCUGUGUGGACACGCCGUCCUUGGACCCAUCCAGCACAAGAGCCCAGCUUCUCCAUCUGGGGUCCCUACCGCUGGCAGCACCGUCAUCGAACCUACCUCCACAUGGCAAAAUAAGAGCCCCUCCGAACGGCGGUGCCUGCUGAGGCAAGUGGAUCAACUGGGUCUGGAAGAGACUCCACUCAGAGAACUGUACAUGCGCAGGAGCCUUCAACUACUGCCCUGCAUCAGGGCCAAAGGGCCACCGCUGGGCAAAGCCCAACUGAAGAAGUUCGGACAUCUCCCUGUGGCAUGGUCCUACCCACAGCGGCCUCCUUCUGCUCCACAGAAAGUCUCUCUGCCUGCAAACCAUGGCCUACUUAUGGGGAACUAGAUUCAAGCGCCGAAGAGCCCCUUCCAGAAGAGAACUCCCACCUGUGCUAAGCGUGGAAAGGACAGUAGGUCACCGGGAGCAACUGUUUUUGCUUUCAUAGGACAAAACUUUGUGACCCUGUGUCCUCAGGGGAGACAGCUUUGUCAAGCAUGUGCUGGCGAAUGCCCUGAUCCUGGUCUUCAUGGGAUAGAAGUGACUGGUUGGGGAAUGGUGGACAAGGGACCCGGUGGUGUUUGCUGGACUGUGGGCAGAUCUUGCAUGACCUGGGAUGGGACUGGCAUAGCUGUAAGGUGGCUGCACCUUUCUAUGCCACUGUGCCAGUUUGUUUUGUCACACUUGGCAUUUAUAUGGGGGUUCUUGGAAUGGGAGAUGUUGCCUAUGUGAGGGUACACUGGGUACGCGGGAAGAUUGUGCAAUGUCUGUGGAAAUUUGGCUAAAUGCAGUCUGAAUAGAGAAUGGUGAGUUAUGAAA